rnacentral:sRNA from 1 species
CUUUUAGUAAAAGAGUUGGGUCAUACACAUGAAAUUGUAGAAACUUGUUAGUUCUGGCGGUAAUCAAUAUACUCGCGGAAUUUACUAAGGGAAGGAAAUCUUGUUGUAUCAUGGAGGUUUGAGUGAUAUACUACAAAUAAAUUCUUAAAGACAGCCUUUAUCAAUGUCUCACAAAACAAUCUUAUUGAUGUUCUGGUCAACUG